rnacentral:rRNA from 1 species
UCUAGGGGGUGUAGCAAUACAUCACCGGCGGACGGGUGCGUAACGCGUGGGAAUGUACCUAUUGGUUCGGAACAACUGGAGGAAACUUCAGCUAAUACCGAAUGUGCCCUUACGGGGAAAGAUUUAUCGCCAAUGGAUCAGCCCGCGUCCGAUUAGCUAGUUGGUGGGGUAACGGCCCACCAAGGCUCCGAUCGGUAGCUGUUCUGAGGAGAAGAUCAGCCACACUGGGACUGAGACACGGCCCAGACUCCUACGGGGAGCAGCAGUUGGGAAUCUUGGACAAUGGGGGAAACCCUGAUCCAGCCAUGCCGCGUGAGUGAUGAAGGCCUUCGGGUUGUAAAACUCUUUAGCGCACGACUAGGAAUGACGGUAGUGCGAGAAGAAGCUCCGGCUAACUUCGUGCCAGCAGCCGCGGUAAUACGAAGGGGGCUAGCGUUGUUCGGAAUUACUGGGCGUAAAGCGCGCGCAGGCGGCUAUCCAAGUCAGUGGUGAAAGCCCGGAGCUCAACUCCGGAACUGCCAUUGAAACUGUUUAGCUUGAGUAUGAGAGGAGUGAGUGGAAUUCCCAGUGUAGGAGUGAAACUCGUAUAGGAUUGGGAAGAACACCGGUGGCGAAGGCGGCUCACUGGCUUUUAUACUGACGCUCAGGCGCGACAGCGUGGGGAUCAAACAGGAUUAUAGGACCCUGGUAGUCCACGCCGUAAACGAUG